UACGUAGGGGGCAAGCGUUGUCCGGAGUUACUGGGCGUAAAGCGCCCGCAGGCGGUCGUCUAAGUUCAGACUGACAAUCCCCAGCUUAACUGGGGAGGGUGUAUGAAAACUGGGAGACUUGAGGGAUAGAGAGGGACAAGGAAUUCCGGGUGGAGUGGUGAAAUGCGUAGAUAUCCGGAGGAACACCAAAGGCGAAGGCAUUGUCCUGGCUAUUUCCUGACGCUGAGGGGCGAAAGCUAGGGGAGCGAACGGG
rnacentral:rRNA from 1 species